AUGGACGGAAACCAUUCGAAGAGUGCAAAGGCAGAAGGGAGCUUGACUGCGACACCGACGGGUGGAGCAGGUACGAAAGUAGGACUUAGUGAUCCGGUGGUAUUAAGUGGGAAUGCCAUCGCUCAACGGAUAAAAGCUACCCUGGGGAUAACAGGCUUAUCACUCCCAAGAGUUCACAUCGACGGAGUGGUUUGGCACCUCGAUGUCGGCUCAUCGCAUCCUGGGGCUGUAGUAGGUCCCAAGGGUUGGGCUGUUCGCCCAUUAAAGCGGUACGCGAGCUGGGUUCAGAACGUCGUGAGACAGUUCGGUCCCUAUCCGUCGCGGGCGUAGGAA
rnacentral:rRNA from 1 species